AUUUAAAUCGUUUCAGCUUCAAGAUACUGAGACAACUUCUGGGGAGUCUGAAGUCAAGUUUCAGGUCUCCAGGGACACAUUGGGUGCCAUGUUACGAUCAAUGGCUUAUAUUCGUGAGCAACUCUCUCAUGCUGGAGAUACGCAGUCAGAGCCUGUAUGGAAAAGGCAUCGAAAAUAAGCCUGAAAAGUUUCUUUUCCACGCUCAGGUGGGUUUGUGACUACUUUGACGGCAAUGUGUAGUGCCCAGUGAAUACGUGAAUGGCUUAGAAAAAUGUAGUGUUUUAUUUUAAUUUGGAUAGCCUUUAUUUUAGGGAGGAAAAAAAAAAAGAGAAAAUUCUCUGCAGAGAGUUGUUGCCUAACAUUUGUACAGGUAUUGUCCCAUAGGCAACAAGCAUGUAUUACAUGGAAUCAGUUGAUAUAUCCCCUACCCCCCCCCCCCUUUUUUUCCUGCCAAAGCGACCUGACCCGCUCUAAUGGAGUAGGAAUUUGGGUUUCAAUUCAUUCUUCUUAAUCUUAAGCCACAAGGCAUCUUGCAGUGAGCGGGGGCUGUCUGGUUCCUCUCCAUGGAAAGGAUAUUCCGUUCUACCUUGAGGUAAAAAAAGAAAUUUGGAUAGGUUUGAUU